rnacentral:rRNA from 1 species
AAUCGCGAAUCAGCAUGUCGCGGUGAAUACGUUCCCGGGCCUUGUACACACCGCCCGUCACACCAUGAGAGUUGGCAAUACCCAACGUACGUGAUCUAACCCGCAAGGGAGGAAGCGUCCUAAGGUAGGGUCAGCGAUUGGGGUGAAGUCGUAACAAGGUACC